AAUGAUGUCGGAUACUUGGUCAGCAGGUACAUGCAGGUGAUCUAGUGAUCGGGCGACAGGCUGGUGCCCACAAGAGAAAAAUCUUGUAAAGAUCACUCAGCGAGUAUUCUUUUGAGAAAAUGCGCUGACCAGCGAUACGGAUCAAAAGAUCCCCUCAGAACAUGAAGAUCGUUGGUCCCUUGUGUACCUUCUGCUCCAUCGUAAUCCUGGUGAGGUCAUCCCCAGUAAGGCGAAAGCCGCAUCUCAUCGACCAGGGCUUAUCUCUUGCAAGCUUUUACUCAAGUGGAAAACUCUCCGUAGGAUUUUUCAUCAGCAAACAAGCAAAGGGGCGCAUGCGCAGAGAUGUUGAGGCCAGCGGAAGCGGAAGUGGCUCAGGGUCUGGGACGAGCGGCGGAAGUGACGUUACGACAUUGGUAGCAAGAAGCAAGCUAUUUCGACCUCAAAGAAAACACCGGGCGAAACAUGGACGUUUUAUCCGAAAGGGACUAGAGCGCUUAAAAAAGAUACAUAAACAUUAAAGCGGAUUUGUCGUAUGUUACACAUCUCGUUUGCGAAAGACACUUUCGUUGCGGUAUCUCUAAUUCACGGCUCCUACCGUGCCGAAUGUAAUUGUCUAUUUUUAUAGACACAAAUACCUUUUGUACCUUGGGUUCGAAGUUGAUUCUGACGCCGCGCUCAAUAGGUUGUGACAUGCUCGAGGAUCCAGCGUAUUUUGCGGACCCCCCCCUUCCAGGAGGAACAUUUUUCCGUUUUCCCACAUAUUUUCGGUACCAUUAAAUAAAAAAUAAAGAGAGAAGGAGGAAAAGAAGAACGGCAACAACAAGAGAAACGCAAGCAAGAAAUUAGCUGCAAGCUGGUCAGAAAGUGGAGGGAAUAGGAAUUGGCUGAAAACAUUAAUUCAGAAUAAGUGAAGUUACUUAAUGUACAGAAUGUAUAUAGGGUAUAUAUAUACAGGUUUGCAUUGCAUAAUAUACAUUCUGUACAUUAAGUAAGGAAUUAUGCACAGUGAAAGCGUCUGAGAGCUUUUUCGAGCUGCCUCUUUGCUGUUCUUCGGUGCUGAAGUAUCUUCAAGUGAGAUAUGACUGUCACAGAAUGACGGGUACAUAACUCUCUCAGAAACAUAUGGGAUCAAAUUGAAACCUUUUUGGGUACGGUUAACUCUCACUAACAUAUAUGAUCAAACCGAAACCCUUCUUCAGUGCUCCAUUGGUCAAAAAUAUAAAUGUUGAUGAACAUUAAGAUGGAGUACUACCCCUAACGUGCAAUACCUCAACGUACCAAUACAGACUCAAGUUAAGUUCAAGUUUACGAUCAUAUUAGGCUUGAGAAACCCAAGACCAUGGCUCGCUUCACACCUAACGUCAAAUGUACCCGGCAAAGGGACUAGAUAUAAGUGAGUGACGAGUUAAGGUUCUCAACAACAUCCUUGUAAAUGAAGAACAUUGCCGCCGAAAGAGGGUUUGGCUUUUUGGUAGAUUUUCUAAACCUUAACUAUGGCGAAGAGAAAGUACAAAGAGAAAAAGCGGAGAAGAGAAUGUGAAAACCAAACCAGAAGGAAAACCAAGUAACAGUCCCGUUCUCUUGCGUUUCCUUUUCACUCUCUGCUUGCACUUCACGUUGAUUUUCUUUUUACCAACCCGCUUUUUCCUCAGUCGACUAACUUAGGUCCAAACUGAUGCUUUAUAACUAUCAGAUUUUUCAUAACUUUUAUUUAGGAUAACCAAGAAGGCGCAUGAAGAUCCAAGUGCCAUUUAUUUAUUGUGUUGUUCAUCCAGACGUGGUAACGUACAGGUGACCGUUGAAUACGGGUGGCUACCUUUCUUUACACAUUAGAGAUCGGAGUAAUCUAAACUAUUUGUUGGCUAUAAGUUAACGAUGCAAACUUAUAAUUUUAAAAUAAUAAUUAACAUUUCAAAUGCGCAGGACUUUGGAACAUUGAUUCCCAUUAUUAAAAAAAUUGGGGGGACUGGUGUUGCUUUUGCGUGCUCGGAGACCCAGCGGUUUUUUCGGGCGCUUCUCAAGGUCCCUACUUUUCCACGGAAAAAGAAAUUAAGCGCCGGUCCUAGAACAUGUCACUCUUGUGGUUCACAGAAAAAAAGGCUGCGAACUACAAUGAAAAGAGAGAUCUAGUCCUACAGAGCACAUUAAUCAGUGUCUAAUAAACAUGUUAUUGCCCUAUCCCUAUGAUUAACAAUAACAACUAUACACUUGUACAUAUUUAAGAAACAAUUAAAGCUGAAACAUGAGCUAGAAAAUGA